rnacentral:rRNA from 1 species
CUAAUACCGCAGGACCAUAGUUACCGCAUGGUAGCUAUGUAAAAGGUGGCUAUGCUACCGCUUUUGGAUGGGCCCGCGGCGCAUUAGCUAGUUGGUGGGGUAAAGGCUUACCAAGGCAAUGAUGCGUAGCCGAACUGAGAGGUUGAUCGGCCACAUUGGGACUGAGACACGGCCCAAACUCCUACGGGAGGCAGCAGUAGGGAAUCUUCCACAAUGGGCGAAAGCCUGAUGGAGCAACGCCGCGUGGGUGAAGAAGGUCUUCGGAUCGUAAAACCCUGUUGUUAGAGAAGAAAGUGCGUGAGAGUAACUGUUCACGUUUCGACGGUAUCUAACCAGAAAGCCACGGCUAACUACGUGCCAGCAGCCGCGGUAAUACGUAGGUGGCAAGCGUUAUCCGGAUUUAUUGGGCGUAAAGGGAACGCAGGCGGUCUUUUAAGUCUGAUGUGAAAGCCUUCGGCUUAACCGGAGUAGUGCAUUGGAAACUGGGAGACUUGAGUGCAGAAGAGGAGAGUGGAACUCCAUGUGUAGCGGUGAAAUGCGUAGAUAUAUGGAAGAACACCAGUGGCGAAAGCGGCUCUCUGGUCUGUA